rnacentral:rRNA from 1 species
UAGCUAGUUGGUGAGGUAAAGGCUUACCAAGGCGACGAUCUGUAGCGGGUCUGAGAGGAUGAUCCGCCACACUGGAACUGAGACACGGUCCAGACUCCUACGGGAGGCAGCAGUGGGGAAUUUUGGACAAUGGGGGCAACCCUGAUCCAGCCAUGCCGCGUGAGUGAAGAAGGCCUUCGGGUUGUAAAGCUCUUUCGGCCGGGAAGAAAUCGCAUGGGCCAAUACCCUGUGUGGAUGACGGUACCGGAAUAAGAAGCACCGGCUAACUACGUGCCAGCAGCCGCGGUAAUACGUAGGGCGCGAGCGUUAAUCGGAAUUACUGGGCGUAAAGCGUGCGCAGGCGGUUUUGUAAGACAGGCGUGAAAUCCCCGGGCUUAACCUGGGAACUGCGUUUGUGACUGCAAGGCUAGAGUACGGCAGAGGGGGGUGGAAUUCCACGUGUAGCAGUGAAAUGCGUAGAGAUGUGGAGGAACACCAAUGGCGAAGGCAGCCCCCUGGGUCGAUACUGACGCUCAUGCACGAAAGCGUGGGUAGCAAACAGGAUUAGAUACCCUGGUAGUCCACGCCCUAAACUAUGUCAACUAGGUGUUGGGUGGGUAAAACCAUUUAGUACCGUAGCUAACGCGUGAAGUUGACCGCCUGGGGAGUACGGCCGCAAGGUUAAAACUCAAAGGAAUUGACGGGGACCCGCACAAGCGGUGGAUGAUGUGGAUUAAUUCGAUGCAACGCGAAAAACCUUACCUACCCUUGACAUGCCAGGAACUUGCCAGAGAUGGCUUGGUGCCCGAAAGGGAGCCUGGACACAGGUGCUGCAUGGCUGUCGUCAGCUCGUGUCGUGAGAUGUUGGGUUAAGUCCCGCAACGAGCGCAACCCUUGUCGUUAAUUGCCAUCAUUUAGUUGGGCACUUUAACGAGACUGCCGGUGACAAACCGGAGGAAGGUGGGGAUGACGUCAAGUCCUCAUGGCCCUUAUGGGUAGGGCUUCACACGUCAUACAAUGGUCGGUACAAAGGGUUGCCAAGCCGCGAGGCGGAGCCAAUCCCAGAAAGCCGAUCGUAGUCCGGAUUGCAGGCUGCAACUCGCCUGCAUGAAGUCGGAAUCGCUAGUAAUCGUGGAUCAGCAUGUCACGGUGAAUACGUUCCCGGGUCUUGUACACACCGCCCGUCACACCAUGGGAGCGGGUUCCGCCAGAAGUAGGUAGCCUAACCGCAAGGGGGGCGCUUACCACGGCGGGGUUCGUGACUGGGGUGAAGUCGUAACAAGGUAGCCGUAGGGGAACCUGCGGCUG